rnacentral:rRNA from 1 species
UUCGGGACUGAUUAUUUUGUGACUGAGUGGCGGACGGGUGAGUAACGCGUGGGUAACCUGCCUUGUACAGGGGGAUAACAGUUGGAAACGGCUGCUAAUACCGCAUGACAUAGAAGAUUCGCAUGUUUCUUCUAUCAAAGAUUUAUCGCUUAAAGAUGGGCUCGCGUCUGAUUAGCUAGUUGGUGAGGUAACGGCUCACCAAGGCGACGAUCAGUAGCCGUACUGAGAGGUAGAACGGCCACAUUGGGACUGAGACACGGCCCAGACUCC